UACAGAGGGUGCGAGCGUUAAUCGGAAUUACUGGGCGUAAAGCGCGUGUAGGCGGGUCUUUAAGUCAGGGGUGAAAUGCCAAGGCUCAACCUUGGAACUGCCUUUGAUACUGGAGACCUUGAGUCCGGGAGAGGUGAGUGGAAUUGCGAGUGUAGAGGUGAAAUUCGUAGAUAUUCGCAAGAACACCAGUGGCGAAGGCGGCUCACUGGCCCGGAACUGACGCUGAGACGCGAAAGCGUGGGGAGCAAACAGG
rnacentral:rRNA from 1 species